CCCAAGGCCACAGGCCUCAGGGGCUUGUCGCUCUGACAGGGUAAUUGGAGCACUUGUGAAACCAGCCGGGUACUCAAGGAAAUGACCUGCAGGGCACGCUGGGGAGGAGUCGGAUACUUUCCUGUCACCUCCCAGAACCAGGGAGUUGGGCAAGGCAGGGAUCCAGGCAGGAUGCACUGAGCACCAAGGAGACCAUGGGCACUUCAGCCUGCUGGAUGCCAGACACCCUGGGACCAGAGAUGCUACCUCUUCAAUGUGGGCACAGGAAAGAUGGCAGUGACAGGCUGUGUGGCUUCUGGAAGGAAGCACAGAGAUGUCCAGGUCUUCCUUAGACACUCCCUGGAUACCUGCUUUCUAGGAAAUAAUAAAAGUACCUAAUUCACCAGGUGGAGCAAUGACUGAAGAGUGAAUACCCAUGCUGUGACUGGGACAAAGGCAUGGGCUUCUGUUUCAGUCCUGCUCUGAAAUGGCCCACGCUAUAAUGACUAACAUCCUGCAGAAAGUACAAGGUGGGAUGAGUGUUGCCUGACCCUGGGCUCUGACAGAGUUUUAGGAUAACAGAGACAGCUCAGAAGGAAUGGGCAGGCUCUUGAGACUCCCAGCAUUGAAGAACAGCCCCCCGGAUGCGCUCUGUGUUACACUUACCACUAACAACUACAUGGUUCUCCCAAGGAAUGAGGCUUAGAAGUGUUAAGUACUGUGGCCAGUGUCACCUGAGUUCUACACAGAGGUCAGACGUGAAACUCACACCCCUGCGUCAUCGGAAACAAGGGCUCUUCACCCCUCUGCCUGCUAGUAAUUAACUUGCACCUGAACCUGUUGCUAUUUGAACAUUUUUAAUGAAUAAAGGUGAAUUUCUAAUGGGUCAGCUGCAACCACGCUGCCCCACAGAAAUCAAACUGGGAAGAGUAACAGUGAUCUGAGGUGACUUGAGUCCGUUUUCUAGGACACAGCCCAGGGCUGUUUCUCUUCUCCAGGCCCGCAUCUUCCCAUGCUCCUCCUGCCUCCUUUUAGAUCUACUCCACACAGCUGCGUUUUUAUUUGGGCAUCCCCAUGGGCUCCAUGUGUUCACCAGGUCUUACAGGAAGGGCUGGAGACACGGCAUCAGUGCAGUCUCGCUCCUGCCCCAGCUGGAGGAGUGGCCAGGCUCACCCUUCCUUUUCCCAGGGAUGAGCCCUGGGCCUUGGACGCGCUAGGCAGACACCCUGCCAUUGUGUUACAUCCCAAGAGUAAUAUGUUGCUGAGCUGAAGGCCUUUUCUAGGACAGGUCCAGCUACCUUUGCAAAGUGGGGAGGGCCUCUCUGAUCUAGCCCACCCCUCAGGAAGGCACUGAGAAGAGGGCAGCUGGCCCGUUUGUGCAUCCCUCCCUACCCUGUUUGCUCUCUAGGACCUCAUGCAGCCAAAGUGUCUUUAUCCUGGUGGCAGAAUAAAGUCACAAAGAAUAUGUUAAAAGGAGAUCAAAAGUCUAGAUUCAAGGAACGCUGGUCAUUCUUCAAGUCUAAAGGCUGGUUGUUUCACCACUCAGUGGAAGCAGUUUUCAUUGCAGUUUAUUUCCUUGGAAGCUGAAACUCCAUGGACUGGCUUCUGUCCUACAUACCGUAUUUCAUUUUAUCUGGGUGCCUGUGCUAUUACAGCUCAAAUCAUGAGUGUUCCCAUGUUCCAUGUGUUAAAGACUUGGUCACCAGCUUGAGGCCCAGUUAGGAGGCAGUGUGACCUUUAGGUAGAGUCUAGUGGAAGGAAUUUAGGUCAUUGGGGGUAUGCCCUCAAAGGGGAUGUCGGGAUCCCAGCCACUUCCUAUCUCUCCUUUGCUUCCUCAUUGCCAGGAGGUGAAGGCGAUUCCCCAACACAUGCCUCCUGCCAUCAUGUGCUGCUUUACCACAGGCCCAAAAGUAGUAAAG